UGUUAGGUAGUUUAAAAUAGAACAAGGGUCUUGUAAGCUUUAGGUGUUGGCUUUUAUGCCGCUCUAACAA
rnacentral:tRNA from 1 species